rnacentral:lncRNA from 1 species
AUCUUCAAGCGUAAAUAUAAAAUCUAGAUAAUAUUUGUUAGUAUUUUCUAUGGUCUAAAACUCUAGUCAUAAGGUUUAAAGGAGGAAACUUUGGAGAAGAUCUGUACAAGCAAAAUCUUACGGGUCCUAAGACCAUGUUGCACUCGUUUCCACUCAGUAAGGCUUCCUUGUGCCGUCCAUACCAACAUCCUUUUCCAUUGUAGAAGUGUUUUUCUUUGAUGAUUUUCUUUAUGAUAAAUUACUAACUAU